UCCUUCUCUGUUCGACUUUCUUCUCUGUUCGAAGAAAGCCUAGCAAAAAAAUUCACUUUACCAGCCGGCAGCCACUGACUGUGACUGAUUUAGAUCUACACCCUCACUCCGUUCGUCGCCGACGCCGUUGCUCGCCGCAUAUGUGAGACUCCAUCGCCAUCGCCAUCGCCAUCGCCAUCGCCUUAACAAGUCCCAAGUCCCAAGUCCCAAAUCGAAGCUGCUCUCUGCCUCUCCGGCCUCCGCCAGUCCGCCGCGCUCUACGUCUCCUGUCGGCUGUGUCCUGCCGUGCUGGUUCAUCGCUGCCGAGUGUCGAAGACGAAGCACCAAGAUCUCACUAGUUCAUCGCUGGUUCAUCACUGCUCAUCUCUGGCUCACUUAGUGCCCAAAAGAGAGUUUUUAGCCACCCAUUCGUUCGGACAGUUUCAACCCUAAACUACUUUCUCAAACCCGUCGAAAAGUGUGAACGCAGCAGAAAAGUGUAGCACCAGAGUAAGCUCAGAAGGCUGCAAAAUGCUCCGGAUUUGUUAACAAGUGACGAAGAUCGAGUUAAUUUACGCCGCGAUACUACGUCGUUUCCUACGAUCGACGCACUAAAUCGCAACCAGUCUUCAGCUCCCGCAACGCGUGACAGUUCUAGCCUCUUCGCUGUGCGAGUCGAAUAAGUGCCGCCACCACCAUACCAGCCCCACCGGCAAGGGUCCACCACCUUUAUUUUGCCCAGAAUUCCGGCAGGUGGUUAACUCAAAAUGCUUUGUUUGAGGUUUACUCCGGUUAGUUUUACUAAAUGGUGGGAACCGGUUCAAUUUCACCGCAUGAAUAAAAAUGUUGUGGUAUGUGCUGUUAAAGGUCCUCGACCAAGGUAUCCCAGAGUUUGGAAAACCAGAAGGAAAAUAGGGACUAUCUCCAAGUCUAUAAAACUUGUUGAAUGUAUAAAGGGAUUAUCGAACGUCAAGGAAGAAGUUUACGGUGCUCUCGAUUCAU